rnacentral:hammerhead_ribozyme from 1 species
AUUCAGUUGACGAGUCCCAUAUAGGAUGAAACGCGCGUUCUGGAU